rnacentral:rRNA from 2 species
GAGUUUGAUCCUGGCUCAGAACGAACGCUGGCGGCGUGCUUAACACAUGCAAGUCGAAMGUGAUUGAGAGCUUGCUCUCAUGAAAGUGGCGCACGGGUGAGUAACACGUGGAUAAUCUGCCUGGCGAUUCGGGAUAACACUUCGAAAGGGGUGCUAAUACCGGAUAAGCCCACGGUCUCUUCGGAGAGCGCGGGAAAAGGGGGCCUCUGUAUAUGCUCCUGUCGCUAGAUGAGUCCGCGGCCCAUUAGCUAGUUGGUGGGGUAAUGGCCUACCAAGGCGACGAUGGUUAGCUGGUCUGAGAGGAUGAUCAGCCACACUGGAACUGAGACACGGUCCAGACUCCUACGGGAGGCAGCAGUGGGGAAUUUUGCGCAAUGGGGGAAACCCUGACGCAGCAACGCCGCGUGAGUGAUGAAGGCUUUCGGGUCGUAAAGCUCUGUCAGUGGGGAAGAAAUGGAACGCGCUAAUAUCGCGUUUCCUUGACGGUACCCACAAAGGAAGCACCGGCUAACUCCGUGCCAGCAGCCGCGGUAAUACC